rfam:Gossypium hirsutum cultivar TM-1 chromosome 24, whole genome shotgun sequence
UGUUAAAAAUUUCAUCCACUUCUAUUGUUAAAAACUGGUAUUAUUGACAAAAUAACUAAAUAGUUACACAUGGUGUGUCACAUGUACUUCAUGUUGAUGUACGUGAACUAGUUUUUAAUAGUAAAAAGUAAUGAAAUUUUUAAUA